rnacentral:tRNA from 1 species
GCCUUCCUAGUGUAAUUCGAAGCAUAUUCGACUCGUAUUUCAGAAGUCCAGGGUUCGAGUCCCAGGGAGGGCA